rnacentral:lncRNA from 1 species
CUUUCCACGUUGCACAAGCCCAGCGCACGGUACCCACUGGAUAUGCCCGAGGCCUCCAGAGGAAAGGAAAGGAGGAAAAGGGACAGAAGAAAUGUUCACAGGAACUGCAUAUGGGCCUGCUACUUGUGUCAAAAUGUGACUGAACUCUCUUCCAGCAGGUGUGGGGAAAAGAGUGACUUCACCUUAAAUGUUAACCUGCCAUGUAACUUCUGACUAAUCCCAGGUCCAGAAAUGCCUCCAAAUGUCUCGUUGCUGUAUUACUCUUUAUGUGGAAACACCUGUUCACUUGUGAAUCCCUGGAAGGCAAGAUCGCCAUUCUGGUCUCUUGUGGAUAUCAAUGCUGAUCUCAGCUUCUGAUGCACGGCAGUCAAUUAAUAAAUGAUUGUUGCCUGAAAAACUGAGCCCCAAAACAAUAUUACAAGUUUAAUAUCAGUAAAGGAUUUAAUGCUUUCUAACAUGAAGAUACCAGAUCUUUUCUAUUCCUGGACUUUUAGAGUUGCUGAUUUUUGUAUAACCCAGAGAUGGAUUUAAAUGCAGAGUGUAUGAACUUCUUCAUUCCUGAGGGAGGACUUAUGAUUUCAUGAGAAAUGCCCUAGGAAAGGGGCCGGGGAGACUGAUGGAGAAGAAGAGUUUGGGAGGGAAGCCCCAAGGACCAUCUGCCCCAUCAGAGUCACAUGCAGAGGGUCCUGCUCCUGCCGUUGGAAGUUGGCUUCCUGAGCUGCUGAACGUGCCAGUCCUGCUGACCCACUCUCAGAUAUCACAGGCACCCGCUGUGUCUGACAGAGACCUUUCUGCAAGUACACGUGCAGGUCUGCUCUGCAAAGGCGUUAUCAUCUGCAGAUUAUUGCACAGAGUGGCUACGAGCUGUGGUGUGAUCCUGUCACAGAGAGAGCCUGGUCACGUUUUCAGAACAGCAGGAAACAGGUACACCUGUAAGCUUAUACUUAUCAGAUUUAAAAAUAAAACAAAAAAUCCAUGCUAUUCCAUGAAAAUCGGACUCAAAUAAACUUAGUCACUGAUCUGUGAAGUAAAUAAUCUGAUGGUAAUGCAUCAGUUGACACUUGGGCCUGGGUUUUUAGGCACUAAUGAAAGCCAGGGGCAAAAUAAUUUUUAAUCUACCAUUAUUUCCCUUGAUGGUUCGACAAAAGUUCUUGUACUAGAAAGUUUUAUAAAACUACUUUCUGAGUGUCCUGUGACAUUUCUCUGAUGAUAUAAAAAGUCAAUAUUUGAUAGCUUAAAUAUCAAUAUUGACAGAAAUAUGAUUAUUUAAAUAAAAACACAAAUAGUAAAAUAAUUUUAUAUG